rnacentral:pre_miRNA from 1 species
GAUCGAGAAAUAGACGUCCGAGAUUCGUCCAUGUCACCAUCAGUUAAAAUUUAACUCGCAGAUUCACUCAUGAGUUAAAAUUUUAAUGGAAGUUAAAUUUUAACUCAUGGUGACAUGGACGAAUCUCGGACGCCCAUUUCUCGAUC